UACACAGAGCUAAGUGACUGAGAACCUAGAAGAUGGAGUAGGACAAGGAGUGGCCAAAGGCAGUGGAGAGAGGGAGGAGGAGCAAAGCCUGAAAUCUGGAAAUCAAUGCAUAUGUAUUUCAAUCCACAGUUGCUUUGGCUGCUGAUACAAAUCAAAGGAAGAAGGAGGGAGAUGCAGGGAAAAAAUGUAAACAGCUAGCUCUACCACCCUCUGAUUUUUUUUAACAGUCUAUGAUAAGAGGAGAUGAAUGCCUGCUAAAGCGACCAGAAGGCUCUCAGUAAAAAGUAUUAACUAGAUAUCAAUAGAAUCUGCAAAACGAAGAGGUGCUUGAAAGAUGUGAAAGAGGAAACUUAAAGAGAAACCCAGAUGGCACAUCUCCCUUCCUGGCUAGAUAGAUGGAAUGUACAGCCAGAGGAUUGGAUGAGGUCAUCCACAGAGAGAAUGCAGAGAGGAUCCUGGGGCUCACCAACAUGAAGAAUUUGGGACAAGAAAGAAGAUCCAGCAGAGAAGACUGAAAGAAGGCAGCUAAUGAAAUAGGAGAGAACCUGGAGAGCACAGAGUCUUAGAGGCCAAGAAAGUGGUUUAAUAUAAUCCCUAUCAAAGCAUUUGUGGUUUAUUUUUGUUAACUGACAAAAGGAUUCUAAAACAUACCUGAAAAGUAUAAUUCACACCUAGGAUAAUGGAUCAUUCUGUCACAUUGUUCCUUUUUCACAGCUGAUAUGAACAUGAUAUUUUCAUGACUUUGUAAAAUAAAAAUGGAAUCUAAUUUUUUUUUAAAAAACUGCUUACUUAUGUAAGCCUUCUGUCUCUCACCGUAUAACCCCUCGACUUUUAUAUGGGGCACACAUGUUUCUGUCACUUUCCUGGAGCCCUUGUAGCAAAUUAAUAAAAUGUAGCACAUGCUU